rnacentral:rRNA from 1 species
ACCUGCUAAAUGAAUUUAAGUUCCUCCUUAACCCAUUCACCAAGGACAUUCACCCAACCCUGCUCAUGUUAGGGUUAAGAGCAACUCGACGGGGGUACAGCCCCCUCGAAAAAGAAUACAACCUCCCCCAGCGGAUAAUAACACUUUCUCCACCUAUCGUAGGCCCUAAAGCAGCCAUCAACAAAAGAGUGCGUCAAAGCUCCACCAAUAAAAAUCUAGAACCCUAUUCGACUCCCUCACCUAAAGCAGGUUAACCUAUGAAAAUAGAAGAAUUUAUGCUAAAAUGAGUAACUAGGAACCCUCCUUCACACAGCGUAAACUUACAUUAAUAUAUUAUUAACAGAACUCAACUUAUAUACGCACUUCAACAAGACUUCAUAUUUAAGCCUAAACCUGUUAAGCCAACUCAGGGACGCUUACAUAAACGAUUAAAACUUACAGAAGGAACUCGGCAAAUUAAAGACCCGACUGUUUACCAAAAACAUAGCCUUCAGCGAACAACAAGUAUUGAAGGUGAUGCCUGCCCAGUGACCCCCAAAGUUCAACGGCCGCGGUAUCCUAACCGUGCGAAGGUAGCGCAAUCAAUUGUCUCAUAAAUUGAGACUUGUAUGAAUGGCUAAACGAGGUCUUAACUGUCUCCUGUGAGUAAUCAGUGAAAUUAGUGUUCUCGUGCAAAAACGAGAAUGUGAUCAUAAGACGAGAAGACCCUGUGGAACUUAAAAAUAACGACCACCCUUCCACCAACAACACCCACUGGACCCACCCACAUAAAACGCCUGGUCGACAUUUUUUGGUUGGGGCGACCUUGGAGAAAAACAAAUCCUCCAAACCCAUAGAUCACAAUUCUUCACCAAGACCAACGCAUCAAAGUACUAAUAGUAAUUUAGACCCAAUACAAUUGAUUAAUGAACCAAGCUACCCCAGGGAUAACAGCGCAAUCUCCUCCAAGAGCCCAUAUCGACAAGGAGGUUUACGACCUCGAUGUUGGAUCAGGACAACCUAAUGGUGCAGCCGCUAUUAAGGGUUCGUUUGUUCAACGAUUAACAG